CAAGUCUGGUGCCAGCAGCCGCGGUAAUUCCAGCUCCCAAUAGCGUAUAUUAAAGUUGUUGCAGUUAAGAAGCUCGUAGUUGAAUUUCGGGGUUAGUAGGUUGGUCAUGCCUCUGGUAUGCACUGGCCUCACUGAUUCCUCCUUCCUGAUGAGCCGUAAUGCCAUUAAUUUGGUGUUGCGGGGAACUUGGACUGUUACUUUGAAAAAAUUAGAGUGUUUAAAGCAAGCUAACGCUUGAAUACAUUAGCAUGGAAUAAUGAAAUAGGACGUUCGAUCCUAUUUUGUUGGUUUCUAGGAUUGACGUAAUGAUUAAUAGGGAUAGUUGGGGGCAUUAGUAUUCAAUUGUCAGAGGUGAAAUUCUUGGAUUUAUUGAAGACUAACUACUGCGAAAGCAUUUGCCAAGGAUGUUCUCAUUAAUCAAGAACGAAAGUUAGGGGAUCGAAGACGAUCAGAUACCGUCGUAGUCUUAACCAUAAACUAUGCCGACUAGGGAUCGGAUGAUGUUAAUUUUUUAAUGACUCA
rnacentral:rRNA from 2 species